UGGCCAUUAUUCAAGGCAACCAUAUAUUACAUACAUAACCAUUUAGGUCCAAAUACCAUAUAUUUACAUAGAUAACCAUCUAAGCAUGCACUGCAGUUCCAUCUAAGAAAUCCAAAAGACAGACCAAAAGACACAUCCUAGCAUGCACUGCAGUUCCAUCUAAGACUUUCCAAAAGUCAGA